UGUUGCGUGGUUUACUAGAACAAGGAAUUCCUUCUAAGGAGCUGGAGAAUCUUCAAGAAUUAAAACCUUUGGAUCAGUGUCUAAUUGGACAAACUAAGGAA